rnacentral:autocatalytically_spliced_intron from 1 species
GUAAGCCGUGUGCGGGAGAACCGCAUGCACGGAUUGACGGGCGGGAGUUGGAAACGGAGCGGACUGGUCAGGGAUACGGAGAAGAACGAUCCGGCGGGAAACCGUUGGGUAUCAAUGGCUUCGUGACCUACCGCCAG